AUACUUACCUGGACGGGGUCUAUGGAUGAUCAUCAAGGUCCAUGGCCUAGGCUAGUGACCUCCAUUGCACAUUCAGGAGGGGUGCUCGCCUAAGAUCUCCCCACGAGGGAGAGUCUACGUCAUAAUUUGUUUCUGAGGGGGUACGCGUCCGCGCGGCCCCUGC